AUGCCCUUACUUCUGGGCCCCUUUGUCCGCUGUAGGCUCAGCGCCACGCUCCUUGCGCUCUGGCUCGUCCUCUCUGGCUUCACCUGCACUGGUGGUUCUGAGCACGCUGCCACGGCGACGCUUCCCGCCGCCUUCUCGGACCUGUUACCUCACUUCUUGGUAGAGCCGGAGGACGAGUACAUCGUAAAGAACAAGCCGGUGACUCUGACCUGCCGCUCCACCCCGGCCACGCAGAUCUACUUCAAAUGCAACGGCGAGUGGGUUCACCAAGAUGACCACUUGAUUGAACGGACUGUUGACCCAGCAACAGCGCUGCCAGUCAUGCAGGUGACAAUCGAAAUAACCAGGCAGCAGGUGGAGAAGAUCUUCGGACUUGAUGAGUACUGGUGUCAGUGUGUCGCCUGGAGCACCACCGGAACCCAGAAGAGCCAGAAAGCAUACAUCAGGAUUGCUUACCUGAGAAAGAACUUUGAGGAGGAGCCGCAGGGUAAAGAGGUGGCAUUGGACCAGGAGGUGUUGCUGCGCUGCCAUCCCCCCGAGGGAGUGCCACAAGCCGAGGUGGAGUGGCAGAGAAACGAGGAUGUGAUCGACCCAGCGAGUGACCCCAAUUUUGUCAUCACGCCCGACCAUAAUCUCGUCAUCAAAAAAGCCCGGCUGGCCGACACCGGCAACUACACGUGCGUGGCCAAAAACAUCGUCGCUCGCCGCAAAAGCACCUCUGCCGCGAUCCUUGUCUAUGUCAACGGUGGCUGGUCCACGUGGACCACCUGGUCGUCCUGCAGUGCCGUGUGUGGGCGUGGCUGGCAGAAGAGGAGUCGGAGCUGCACCAACCCCACGCCACUGAAUGGAGGCACAUCCUGUGAGGGGCAGAACGUCCAGAAAAGUGCCUGUGUGGCCACCUGUCCAGUGGACGGAGGCUGGAGCGAGUGGAGCAAGUGGUCAGCAUGUGGCGCAGACUGUUCGAUGUGGAGGAGCAGAGAGUGCACCCAGCCCUCACCUGGCACAGGGGGCAAAGACUGCCAGGGGCUUGAUCUCCAGUCUCUCAACUGUACCAGCGAGCAGUGUCCACAGAGUGAGUGCACCACCACCCACCAAGAUGGUUUUGGCUUCGGAGCCGAGGACGUGGCGCUCUAUGUGGGCAUGGUGGCCGUGGCCCUGUGUCUGACCCUGCUGCUCAUUGUGGUCGUCCUGGUCUACAGGCGCAAGAAGGAAGGCCUGGAUGCCGACGUGGCCGACUCCUCCAUCCUCACCACUGGCUUCCAGCCCAUGGGCAUCAAGCCCAGCAAGCCAGAGAACUCCCAUUUACUCACCAUCCAGCCUGAUCUAACCACCACCACCACCAGUUAUCAAGGCACCCUGCGCUCUCGCCACGAUGCCACCGGGAAGUUUUCGAUGACCAACGGGCCUCUGCUGGACCCGCUUCCCAACGGCUCACACACCUUGCACAACGGCAAGCUCAACUCUGAUGCUGCUGCCGAGUUUGUGAGCAGGCUCUCCACCCAGAGCUACUUUAAAACGCUGCCCCGCGACGUGGCCAACACCUCCUACGGGACCUUCAACUUCCUAGGCGGCAGGCUGACUAUCCCCAACACAGGAAUCAGUCUGCUCAUUCCUCCCGAGGCCAUCCCCAGAGGAAAGAUCUAUGAGAUUUAUCUCACUGUUCAGAGGAAGGAAGAUUUAAGGUUACCCCUGGCUGGCUGCCAGACCCUCCUCAGCCCCAUUGUGAGUUGUGGCCCUCCGGGGGUGGUCCUGAGCCGGCCAGUUAUCCUCAGCAUGGACCACUGCUUUGAUGCAUGCCUGGAUAACUGGGCCGUGCGCCUUAAGAAGCAGAACUAUGAGGGCGCUUGGGAGGACGUCCUGUUGAUGGGAGAGGAGCUGGUGUCAGACCCUUAUUACUGCCAGCUCGAGGCCGAGACGUGCCGGCUCUUCUCGGAGCAGCUGGGUACAUUCGCCCUGGUGGGCGAGUCCCUGCACAUGGGCGCCGCCAAGCGCCUGAGGCUGGUGCUCUUCUCGGACGCUUACUGCUCCACGCUGGAGUACAACAUCAGGGUAUACUGCAUGGACGACACGCAGGACGUCUUCAAGGAGGUGAUGCAGAUGGAGCGCUACCACAACCUGCGCCUGUCCAUCCAUGACAUGCCCCAGGCGCACUGGAGGAGCAAGCUGCUAGCCGGCUACCAGGAGAUCCCAUUCUACCACAUCUGGAACGGUUCCCAGCGGUACCUGCACUGCACGUUCACUCUGGAGCGGCUCAGCCUCAGCACCUGCGAGCUCACCUGCCAGCUGUGUGUGUGGCAGGUGGAGGGGGAGGGACAGAGCUUUAGCCUGGACUUUAACAUUUUUCUGUUAAUGGACAGUAACGCCACAGCUCUGGCGGGACCCAGCGCCUUUCAGAUCCCGUACCUCAUCAGGCAGAAGAUCUGCAGCAGCCUGGAUGCCCCCUGUCCCAACGGAGCCGACUGGAGAAUGCUAGCACAAAGACUUAAACUCGAGAGUUUCCUUGCAUCCAAAGCGAGCCCAACCUCUGUGAUCCUGGACCUAUGGGAGGCGCAACAUUUCCACAGCGGCAACAUCAACCAGCUGGCCACGGUCAUGGCCGACAUCGGCAAACAGGAAGCCAUGAUAUUCCUGGUCUCCGAUGGCGAGUGCUAA
rnacentral:lncRNA from 1 species